AUUGAACGCUGGCGGCAGGCCUAACACAUGCAAGUCGAACGAGUGGCGGACGGGUGAGUAAUGUCGGGGAAACUGCCCGCUGGAGGGGGAUAACUACUGAAAAAGGUAGCUAAUACAGCAUACCAUAGGUUGUGCCACGAUGGGAUUAGCUAGUAGGUGGGGUAACGGCUCACCUAGGUGACGAUCCCUAGCUGGUAGGAGAGGAGGACCCGCCCCACUGGAACUGAGACACGGUCCAGACCCCUACGUGAGGCAGCAGUGUGGAAUAUUGCACAGUGGGCGAAAGUCUGAUGCAGCCAUGCCGCUUGUAUGAAGAAGGCCUGCGGGUUGUAAAGUACUUUCAGCGAGGAGGCGUUACUCGCAGAAGAAGCACCGGCUAACUCCGUGCCAGCCGCCGCGGUAAUA
rnacentral:rRNA from 1 species